UACGUAGGUUCCGAGCGUUGUCCGGAUUUAUUGGGCGUAAAGCGAGCGCAGGUGGUUUAUUAAGUCUGGUGUAAAAGGCAGUGGCUCAACCAUUGUAUGCAUUGGAAACUGGUAGACUUGAGUGCAAGAGAGGAGAGUGGAAUUCCAUGUGUAGCGGUGAAAUGCGUAGAUAUAUGGAGGAACACCGGUGGCGAAAGCGGCUCUCUGGCCUGUAACUGUCACUGAGGCUCGAAAGCGUGGGGAGCAAACAGG
rnacentral:rRNA from 1 species